rnacentral:rRNA from 1 species
UGCAGUCGAGCGGACAGAUGGGAGCUUGCUCCCUGAUGUUAGCGGCGGACGGGUGAGUAACACGUGGGUAACCUGCCUGUAAGACUGGGAUAACUCCGGGAAACCGGGGCUAAUACCGGAUGCUUGUUUGAACCGCAUGGUUCAAACAUAAAAGGUGGCUUCGGCUACCACUUACAGAUGGACCCGCGGCGCAUUAGCUAGUUGGUGAGGUAAUGGCUCACCAAGGCAACGAUGCGUAGCCGACCUGAGAGGGUGAUCGGCCACACUGGGACUGAGACACGGCCCAGACUCCUACGGGAGGCAGCAGUAGGGAAUCUUCCGCAAUGGACGAAAGUCUGACGGAGCAACGCCGCGUGAGUGAUGAAGGUUUUCGGAUCGUAAAGCUCUGUUGUUAGGGAAGAACAAGUACCGUUCGAAUAGGGCGGUACCUUGACGGUACCUAACCAGAAAGCCACGGCUAACUACGUGCCAGCAGCCGCGGUAAUACGUAGGUGGCAAGCGUUGUCCGGAAUUAUUGGGCGUAAAGGGCUCGCAGGCGGUUCCUUAAGUCUGAUGUGAAAGCCCCCGGCUCAACCGGGGAGGGUCAUUGGAAACUGGGGAACUUGAGUGCAGAAGAGGAGAGUGGAAUUCCACGUGUAGCGGUGAAAUGCGUAGAGAUGUGGAGGAACACCAGUGGCGAAGGCGACUCUCUGGUCUGUAACUGACGCUGAGGAGCGAAAGCGUGGGGAGCGAACAGGAUUAGAUACCCUGGUAGUCCACGCCGUAAACGAUGAGUGCUAAGUGUUAGGGGGUUUCCGCCCCUUAGUGCUGCAGCUAACGCAUUAAGCACUCCGC